UAUUUAAUCAAACAAUUAAAAAUUAUCGAACUGUAUAUUACUAUUUAAUUCACAGCCAUCCUGUAUAAAUAAUAUUCGUUUGAAAAGAAUCCUAGUCUGGCAUUCUUUGUACGCGUUCUUCGUUUUUUUUGGGUUUUUCGCUCAUGGUAGACCGUCGAGCAUCGGUCAUUUUCUGCCAAGAUCUACUUCUGUGCAACUAGUAUAGACUAAAAUCGCUGUUUUGUGGCAAUUUAACGCUUUAGUAAUUUUUGCGUUCCUUUGUGGAUUAAUAGCUACAAAAUUAGCAAAUUAAAUGAAUUAUAUCUCUGUAGGAGUUCUUUUGAAAUUCAUUUGCUGACUUUGGUCAGGAUAAAUGGUUUUGGUCUUAUAGUAGCAUAGAAAAUCUUUCGCUUAAAUAAAUCAAUUUAUAUUGGAGGACUCGAAAGCUAGAACAAUUUUAUUAAUUCUGUUGCUUUCCCAUUGCUGAAUUCUGAAAGUGUAAAAAAAAGUACUCUAAAUUUAAAUUAAAUAUUUAUUCUUAAAUUUAUGACAAAAGUUACAUGGGUACUGGGGUAUUUUAGGGUUGAAGGAUAGGGUGAAAAGAAAGAUCCAAAGCAGUUCUAUUCUUCCUCGUUGGUCUCCGGUUUCCAGAUUGGAUGAAAGUUAGUUUGGUAUGAUGAAGUUCCAGAUAUGUCAAGUUGUUUGAUGGUGUCCUCGAUUCCUUGAGUCUGUUGUGGUGUCCCAGGCUCCCAGAUAAGUCGUUUUUUUUGUAAAUUUGGUGCAGCCUAAAUGCUGAAAACAAAUUGAUUAAUAUAUAUUUUUUUUGUAAUUUAAAUUAAGGCUAAAUUGAAAACUUACCUAUUUUUACUUACCGUGUCCAAAGUGUAAUUUUUGUAGGUAUUUAUUUUAUUCAAAAGUAGUGCUUAAAAUAUUACUUAUCGAUACAAAAAGUGUGAUAAUACAGUUUUUUAUAUCGGCAGAAGUGUAAACCAAAUUGUGAUCACAAUAAGGUGGGUUUAUCUUCGUUGUAUUUUUUUAUAAACUUUAUUAAGUGAUACCACAGCAUAAAGAAACCAGCAGUCUCACUCCGCUCGAAAAUGUAAGCGAACUAAUA